CUCUUCGGGGAUGAUUAAACCGGCGCACGGGUGAGUAACACGUGAGUGACCUGCCUUUUAGACUGGAACAACUUACCGAAAGGUGAGUUAAUGCCGGAUGAGUUAUAUAAGUGCAUGUUUAUAUAGGAAAAGUUGGGGAGACCUGACGCUGAAAGAUGGACUCGCGUCCCAUUAGCUAGUUGGUAGGGUAAUGGCCUACCAAGGCGACGAUGGGUAGCCGGCCUGAGAGGGUGGCCGGCCACACUGGGACUGAGACACGGCCCAGACUCCUACGGGAGGCAGCAGUGGGGAAUUUUGCGCAAUGCUCGUAAGAGUGACGCAGCGACGCCGCGUGAAUGACGAAGGCCUUCGGGUCGUAAAGUUCUUUCGACAGGGAAGAAAAUGCCCUAUAAGUAACUGUGUAUGUA
rnacentral:rRNA from 1 species